CCGUUAAUUGAUUAUGACGUACUUGUACUGAUUGAGAUUUUAACACGAAGUGAGUGGCGAACGGGUGAGUAACACGUGGGUAACCUGCCCAGAAGUAGGGGAUAACACCUGGAAACAGAUGCUAAUACCGUAUAACAGAGAAAACCGCAUGGUUUUCUUUUAAAAGAUGGCUCUGCUAUCACUUCUGGAUGGACCCGCGGCGUAUUAGCUAGUUGGUGAGGUAAAGGCUCACCAAGGCAGUGAUACGUAGCCGACCUGAGAGGGUAAUCGGCCACAUUGGGACUGAGACACGGCCCAGACUCCUACGGGAGGCAGCAGUAGGGAAUCUUCCACAAUGGACGCAAGUCUGAUGGAGCAACGCCGCGUGAGUGAAGAAGGGUUUCGGCUCGUAAAGCUCUGUUGUUAAAGAAGAACGUGGGUAAGAGUAACUGUUUACCCAGUGACGGUAUUUAACCAGAAAGCCACGGCUAACUACGUGCCAGCAGCCGCGGUAAUACGUAGGUGGCAAGCGUUAUCCGGAUUUAUUGGGCGUAAAGCGAGCGCAGGCGGUCUUUUAAGUCUAAUGUGAAAGCCUUCGGCUCAACCGAAGAAGUGCAUUGGAAACUGGGAGACUUGAGUGCAGUAGAGGACAGUGGAAUUCCAUGU
rnacentral:rRNA from 1 species